GGCAUCGUCAACUUCGUGACCCGGGCGAUCCCCGAGGACUUCGCCACCAAGCUCGACGUGCACAGCGAACUCAGCCCCAGUUCCAGCCAGGACGGCCUGAAGACCACCCACAACGUGCUGAUCGGCGGCACCGGCGCCAACGGCCUCGGCG
rnacentral:sRNA from 1 species